AAAAUCCGUCGAUUUUUGAAAUCAUGAGGGUUCAAGUCC
rnacentral:tRNA from 1 species